AUCGAUGAAGAACGCAGCGAAAUGCGAUAAGUAAUGUGAAUUGCAGAAUUCAGUGAAUCAUCGAAUCUUUGAACGCACCUUGCGCUCCUUGGUAUUCCGAGGAGCAUGCCUGUUUGAGUGUCUUGAAGUCAUCAACCCCCUCCGUUUCGUGCGGUUCGGGUUGGAGCUGGGGGCUCUGCCGCCGUGAGGCGGCUCCCCUCAAAUGCAUCGGUUGGGCCUGUGGGUCGAACUCGACUGGGCGUUGUACCAUCCUCGCUCGACAGAGACGUUCCCCUCUUGUGCCCUUCCCCGACCGCCUCUCAAGGGUGGCGGUCAACUUUUUGAAAUCUGACCUCAAAUCAGGUAGGACUACCCGCUGAACUUAAGCAUAUCAAUAAGCGGAGGAAAAGAAACUAACAAGGAUUCCCCUAGUAACUGCGAGUGAAGCGGGAAAAGCUCAAAUUUGAAAUCUGGCGGCUCUGCCGUCCGAGUUGUAUUCUGGAGAAGCGUCUUCCGCGCCGGACCGUGUACAAGUGCCUUGGAACAGGACGUCAUAGAGGGUGAGAAUCCCGUCUUUGACACGGACCCCCGGUGCUCUGCGAUGCGCUCUCGAAGAGUCGAGUUGUUUGGGAAUGCAGCUCAAAACGGGUGGUAAAUUCCAUCUAAAGCUAAAUAUUGGCGAGAGACCGAUAGCGAACAAGUACCGUGAGGGAAAGAUGAAAAGCACUUUGGAAAGAGAGUAAAACAGUACGUGAAAUUGUUGAAAGGGAAACGCUUGAAGUCAGUCGCGUCUGCCGGAACUCAGCCUUGCUUCUGCUUGGUGCACUUUCCGGCCGGACGGGCCAGCAUCGGUUUCGAGCGACGGACACUGGCGAGGGGAAGGUGGCAGCUCCGGCUGUGUUAUAGCCCCCCGUCGCAAACGUUGCCCGGGACCGAGGAAUCCGGCGCAAGCCUGGGAUGCUGGCGUAAUGGCUUUAAGCGACCCGUCUUGAAACACGG
rnacentral:rRNA from 1 species